UACGGGGGGGGCAAGCGUUGUUCGGAAUUACUGGGCGUAAAGGGCUCGUAGGUGGCCAACUAAGUCAGACGUGAAAUCCCUCAGCUUAACUGGGGAACUGCGUCUGAUACUGGAGAGCUUGAGUCCGGAAGAGGUGAGUGGAACUCCGAGUGUAGAGGUGAAAUUCGUAGAUAUUCGGAAGAACACCAGUGGCGAAGGCGGCUCACUGGUCCGGUACUGACGCUGAUGUGCGAAAGCGUGGGGAGCAAACAGG
rnacentral:rRNA from 1 species